AUUGAACGCUGGCGGCAGGCCUAACACAUGCAAGUCGAGCGAGCGGCGGACGGGUGAGUAAGAUCUGGGAAACUGCCCGAUGGAUGGGGAUAACUACUGGAAACGGUAGCCAAUACCGCAUACCAUCAGAUGUUCCCAGAUUGGAUUAGCUAGUAGGUGGGGUAAUGGCUCACCUAGGCGACUAUCCCUAGCUAGUGUGAGAGGAUGACCAGCCACACUGGAACUGAGACACGGUCCAGACUCCUACGGGAGGCAGCAGUGGGGAAUAUUGGACAAUGGGCGAAAGCCUGAUGCAGCCAUGCCGCGUGUGUGACGAAGGCCUUCGGGUUGGAAAGCACUUUCAGCGAGAAGGCGUUACUCGCAGAAGAAGCACCGGCUAACUACGUGCCAGCAGCCGCGGUAAUAC
rnacentral:rRNA from 1 species